GAUGAACGCUGGCGGCGUGCCUAAUACAUGCAAGUCGAGCGAACGGACGAGAAGCUUGCUUCUCUGAUGUUAGCGGCGGACGGGUGAGUAACACGUGGAUAACCUACCUAUAAGACUGGGAUAACUUCGGGAAACCGGAGCUAAUACCGGAUAAUAUUUUGAACCGCAUGGUUCAAAAGUGAAAGACGGUCUUGCUGUCACUUAUAGAUGGAUCCGCGCUGCAUUAGCUAGUUGGUAAGGUAACGGCUUACCAAGGCAACGAUGCAUAGCCGACCUGAGAGGGUGAUCGGACACACUGGAACUGAGACACAGUCCAGACUCCUACAGGAGGCAGCAGUAGGGAAUCUUCCGCAAUGGGCGAAUGCCUGACGGAGCAACGCCGCGUGAGUGAUGAAGGUCUUAGGAUCGUAAAACUCUGUUAUUAGGGAAGAACAUAUGUGUAAGUAACUGUGCACAUCUUGACGGUACCUAAUCAGAAAGCCACGGCUAACUACGUG
rnacentral:rRNA from 1 species